AGAUGAACGUUUUCAUGUAUUUAAAUUUGUCUAGACUCCUAACUCUGUGUGUCAGUGUUAUGAUUAGUCCUUCUUAACACUUGUCUUCUACUAAAUGUGUGGAAAAUAUGUUUCCUAUUGUUAGUGACUCAGUAGUGUUUACUAAAGAAUUGCAUUAUCUGAGAAAGUUUCAAUAAUAAAGAAAAUUCACAUGAACAUUUCCUGGUUAUUUAUUUGUAUAAAAACAGCAAAUACCUUAUAAAACCAAAAGAAGAAAAUCUUUUUAAAAAUUAAUUUGGGGCAUUAUUCAUAUAAGCUAUUAUUUUCUAGCAUUUUACCAGUUUAUUAUUUGAAUUACCAAUGAUGCAUUUUCUUACACUGACUACUUUUUUAAGAGCUUUUAAUGUGUCUCCUUUUCCCUCUUUUUUCUGACAUUUGCUCCUACCAUAUCAUUUCUGUUUAUCUAACACUAAGCAGGUGUCUUAGGAAAUAACCCAAUAUCACCUUGUAAAAGAAGUCCUACAGUAGCCUUAUGUUAAUAACAUUCCUUCUGUCUUGUUAACAAGAUAAUGAGGGGGGGUUAAACUCUAAAAAUUAUAUUCAGGAAUUCCCGUCAUGGCCCAGUGGAAACGAAUCCAACUAGGAACCAUAAGGUUGCGGGUUUGAUCCAUGGCCUCGCUCAGUAGGUUAAGGAUCCGGCAUUGCCAUGAGCUGUGGUGUAGUUCUCAGACACAGCUUGGAUCUGGCAUUGCUGUGGCUGUGGCGUAGGCCGGCAGCUACAGCUCCCAUUAGACCUCUAGCCUGGGAACCUCCAUAUGCUGGGUGUCCUAAAAAGACAAAAGUCAAAAAUAAAAUAAAAUAAAAAUUAUAUUCAUAUUCUCCCUCUCUCUCUCUCUCUCUCUUUCUCUCUCUCUCUCUCUCUCUCUCUCUCUUUCUCUCCCUCACACACACACACAUAUUUGAGAACAUUAAAGCCCCAUUUCAGCAACCAAGUUCUUGCAUGCCACCUCAAGUAUAGUUUGGCAACUGCGGAAACAUAUAACACAUUGCCUAUUUCUUCCUCUUUGCUUUUGCCCAAUAGCUUUUGACUUGCAAGGAGUCUUCAAUUUGCUGCACAAUUAGCCUACAUUCAGUUCAGUUUCAAGGAUCCCCUUGGAUGCUUUAGUGGUAUGUUUAAUAGCCUGUUGGCCUUGUAGAUUCUAAUGCAUUUCAUAUUACUUAUCUCUUAGUUGUCCCAGUAUAAUAUGCCAGGUGAAAUUCCAUUUGUUCACCAAUUUUGUAGAAAUGUUUCCCAAUUGAUGUGCACCUGUGGCUUAUUUCCCUAGGUUGGAAAACCCUGAACUGGAAGGAGUAUGGAGUAUGAUGCUUUUUCUUAGUACAUUCUUGGUAGUAAGAUGGCUCUAAAUAUGCGGAUGAAUAUAGUGUGUUUCUACAAUAAUGAGUCUCUGGGAAAUCCCAUUUAAUUUGAGAUAUGAGCAGCAAAGAUAACAGUAAUAGCAUAAACAGAAACUUCUCAGAACUUUUAAGGACAAAAUCUCAGGCAACUCCUAAGAAUUAAAAUGAUUUUGGCUAUAAGUAGCAGAAAUCCAGACUCUAUAAGUGAUGUCACUGGACUGGAAGUUCAACUGUGGAGUGGGCUUCAGGGCAGAGUGAAGCAAGGUCAUUGAGGACCCAGGUGUCUUCUUUCUUUCUGCUCUAUAAUUCUUAGCAUGGCUUUAUCCUCAGUGUAGUAACAAGAUGGCUGACCUAGUUGUCAUAUCUACAUCCAGUAAUGCCCAGGGGACAUUCCUAUGGCUAUCCCAUAGAAAAAGGAAUUCUCCCUUACCCCUGGGAAUAAUUCCCAUUACACUUCAGGUCAAAAUGGGCUUAUAGGCUGGUUUAAAAGAAAUCAUAGGCAAGAUUAAUCUUCAAACGAUCCCAUCCUAAAACUAUAGGGAUCCUUUCAGUUUUCCCUGAGACAUGGCUACAUGGAAUUGAGGAGAUACCUGAUUGAAAUUGGGGUUCUAAUAACCAAAAGAGUGGAGAAAUGAAUGCUAAGUAGGUUACAAAUAAUAUCUACUACUUGGUUGUGGCAUCGUAAUUGGACCCUGAAGAAAUACAGAGAGAAAUAAGAGCCCCUGUGGCCAACAUGCUCUGACCAGCAUGAGUUUCUAAAACACAGAUUGAGGACCAAGUAAGAGGAAAAUGAGAUUGCCCAUCUUUUGGCCUGAGGCUAAAAUAAUUAAUAUAAUUCCUUACUGAGAGGAUACUCUAGUUUGGCUCAUUCAACAUCAUUUCCAUCCCUCUUUUCCUGUUCUAUAGAGAUUGGAAAGUAAUGUCCUUGAUUUCACAGCCUCUUUAAUAGCUUAGGUUGUCCAGAGCAGAGUUCUGGCCAAUGAGAUCUAGGAAGCAGCCUGCUUUCUAGGAAAUGUGUCAAAUUUGGGUAUACUGUUUAGGAGUGCAGUAUCUGCCUUGAAACCAG
rnacentral:lncRNA from 1 species